UGGAGGAUAGCAUAAAUUAGUGUGUUCUACUUACGCUAGAAAGGUGGUGUUUUACCUCCUCCUU
rnacentral:tRNA from 1 species